GACGAACGCUGGCGGCGUGCUUAACACAUGCAAGUCGAGCGGUAAGGCCCUUUUGGGGGUACACGAGCGGCGAACGGGUGAGUAACACGUGGGUGACCUGCCCUCAGCUCUGGGAUAAGCCUGGGAAACUGGGUCUAAUACUGGAUAUGACCUUUCCUCGCAUGGGGUUGGGUGGAAAGUUUUUCGGCUGGGGAUGGGCCCGCGGCCUAUCAGCUUGUUGGUGGGGUGAUGGCCUACCAAGGCGACGACGGGUAGCCGGCCUGAGAGGGCGACCGGCCACACUGGGACUGAGACACGGCCCAGACUCCUACGGGAGGCAGCAGUGGGAAUAUUGCGCAAUGGCGGAAGCCUGACGCAGCGACGCCGCGUGGGGGAUGAC
rnacentral:rRNA from 1 species